GUUACAUUCAUUCCUGGUUUUUACUUCAAGAAUUCAGUCACAUAGCAUAAUUAGUUAAUUAGGUUCUUUCACCACAGAGGACAAUCAUCAGUUAUUUCACCCAUUCAGAAAGUCUAGUUAUGAUUUCAGUGAGUUUCUCAAGCUGUUAGCUCUUUUGUCAUACCAGCAUAUAAAAUAAGAGAUUAGAACAGAAUAAUUAUAAAAUUAUCUGCUUAUAUUAGUAAGUUUAAUAUAAAUAUAAGCUACACAUGUAAAAAAAAAUAUGAGACAAGGUUUUAUUAUGUAUCCCAGGCUAGCCUUGAACUCAUUGUGUAACCCAGACUGACAUCAAACUCACAGUAAUCCUCCUGACUCAGUGUCCCAAGAUCUGGGGUUAUAGGCAUAUGCCACCACUCCCACAGCCAUACAUGCAUCUUUAAAUUUUCUAUUAGCUAAAUUCUAAAAAGAAAAUAUGAAAUUAUGACAGUACAUUUUAAUCCAGUAUACACAAGUUACUACAUCAAAAUUUAAAUUAGUGAGAUAAUUUGAGUCACUUUUAUGUUUCUCAAAUUAGCAGUUUAAACAUGUUUACAUCAGGUGGUCAGGGACCACACUGUAGCCAGUGGCUCCUAUGGUAGACCAACUGGUCUGGCCUAAAACCUUUUCAUUAUAGCAGAGUGAGACUUGAAUUUCUAUAGCUAGAUUUGAGCUGACAGUUUUGCACACUGGUAAGUUGGUAAGCAGCUAAGAUGCCAACAGCUAAGAUGCCAAUGUUACAGACGUAGAUACAUAAAUACUGGCUACUCCUGAACACACUUGGCAAAGUGUUGUCCAAUUUUACAUCAAAGCAGCACUUCUUUAGGCACUGCCAAAUUGUGUGUGUGUGUGUGUGUGUGUGUGUGUGUGUGUGUGUGUGUGUGUAUGUACUGACCAGAGUCUAUCUUAACCCCACUUGGGCACUGGAAACCUGACUUCAUCCUAGACUUUCCAGAGUACUGCCAUAGAGCCAACAGUACUCUCACUUAACAAAAACAGUACUCUCAGUGUCCCCACUGAGCUGACUGUACCCAGGAUCCAGUCUCUACACAUUGGGCUAAGCUGGACAUCCUCAUGUUGGAAGCAAUCUUUCUAGUAUCCUCCUGAAAAUACACGGCCAUGACGUGGUGGUGACAUGCCAGAUACCCAUAAAAUGGGAAUAUGGUCACAACUGGUACUUGUGGGGUAUUUGUAGAAGGGCCUGAUCAAUGCUGCCACUGCACAGACUUUUUAAAGACUUUUGGACUUUUUUUACAUACUGAUUUUAGAAUAAUUAUCAAUAUCAUAUAGUCAUUUUUAGGGGCAGAUUUAUAAAGAAAGAAGCAGCUUGCCUUUAAAGGUACGUCAAUUGCAUACUAUUUUGACAUUUUGUAAUGUAGAAUGUUCAGCAUUUUUCUAUUGGCUAUUUCCAGUAUCAUAUGCAAGGUUGCUCAUCACGAGCUGACUUGAGGUUGAAGCUCCAAGAGCCAUUUUGUUUCGUGAUUCAGUUUUUAUUGCACAGGAGCAGCUGGGUGCAUUUCAGAUCGGAAAAAGAAAAGAAAUGCCAGAAAAGGCAAAGUACUUCUGCUUCAGGAUUGUUCUUACAAAGCCAAAUAAAAAAUAAUUUUAAAAGAGCGCAUCAAAGUCGGGUGCUAGUGGUGCAUGCCUUUAACCCCAGCACUUGGGAGGCAGAGGCAAGUGGGUCUCUGUGAGUUCAAGACCAGCCUGGUCUACAAGAGCUAGUUAUAAGACAGCCUCCAAAGCCACAGAGAAAAAACUCUCGUCUCAAAGCUCCCCUACUCCCCACAAAAAGAGGUCAUUAAAGUAAAUUAGCACUAGGCUCAUAUACAGCACACCCAAUUGCAUAAUUAUACUGCCAUUGUGUAAUCUGCUUAUCAUUGCAGAGUGCCCAGUCUGGUUGUCUAGGUUUGAAACAGCACAAAGUUUCCAGACAUUUAUUUAUGUAAUGAGAUUUGUAAUUACUGUCCAUUAGGUCAUAUUCCAACUUCCUUAAUGUUUAUCACUGAUACAUGACUGAUCAGGGUCCCUGCUGACAUUCCAGCACUUACCAGUUGAACACUGCCGAAGAUUAGACUGUGUCUGCACUGGUUGGUUGUUUUUAACAUUAAAGUAUAUUUUUUUUUUACUUUGGUGUUCAUAGCCACAUGAUGAAAACGUACAAAAUUUUCUUAAAAUUUUUGUCAUUUUAUUUUCUUAUAAAAAGGUUCCUUGAAAGUGAAAGUAAGAUAGAGGAGGGAGGAACAGAGGGAAGAGAGAGAAGGGUAGGAGGGAGAGAGAGUGGGGUGGGGAUAUACAUAUUAGUUACAUAUCCAGCGCUGCAAUGAUUAGCAAGUUCACUCUUUCUAUGUGAGGACUCACUGUUGUCAUUAUUACUUUGUGAAUAUCACCUUAGAUCAAUGUAGACCCAGUCCAAUCAUAUUAUACUUACCUUGGAAAGGAGUAACAAUUUACAAUUGGUUAUAUGAGUUUUCAUAAAUGAUCUGUGAUGUAUUCGGAAAGGCUUGAUUCAAUCUGUUCCCAAGCACCUGGCCUAGCAUUCCACUUCAAAGAAGAUCCCAAGCAUCUGACCCAGUUACACUCAGAAAAUCCCCCAUACGCCGAAGGACUGAAAGCUGUCUCUUUAAUACUGUAUUGCUCUUGACCAAUGAUAGAAAAAUGGAAACCUGCCAAUCACAUUUCUUUGCACUGCCUUACCCCCACUUGUCCCGAGGCAUGUUUUGUCUGUACUGACAUGAGCUUCAUAUUGGAAAUGUGAGGUUCUCUAAAGUUCGGGCAGGAACAUUUCAGGUGACCUAGAGAAACAGGUUUUUGUUGCUCCAUAGUUCAGAUUAAAGCACUAAUGAGCAACUCUAGGAAUACAAAAUUACAUUGUCCAUAAUUGUUUUCAAUAUAGUCUGAAGAUUGACCUGAAAGGCCCACGAUACAGAAUAUUUAUAUCCAAUCUGAUCUUUGCUUUGAGUCAAUGUUGAAAAUGACAAAUAUUUAAACUUUGGUCUUACUGAAUAAUCUUUAUUUUCCAUCUAAAGUAUUAUUUCAAGAUACUCAAAUACAAUAGGCUUCACCUUUUUGAAAACUGUUUCCUGAAGCUAUCUCCAAAUUCUGAUAGUUAUGGAUGAUAAAAACCUAGAUGUGUUUCUUUAUCACAUCUUUGAAACUUAAUAAUAUAUUUUGUAAAGGACACAAGUAUGACCAUAAUUUGAAAAUUAUCUCAUAGGCACCUCCUUUUAACUUGACCUGUUUUGUAUGCCUGGCCAACUAAAUGUGUAUCAGUGUAACUAAUAUAUAAUUUGUAUAGGUUACUAAAGAGCAUAUUCAUGGUUGAUUACUUUUCUGCUCAGUACAUUCUUAGCUUCAGUAAUAUUUUUAUGAUCAUCUAUAAACCAAAAGGAUGUUCUAAUGCCUCCUAAAUUUUAAAUUCUUUGGUUGAAAUGACAUAAAAGUAGUCUGUCAUUCUAUGUCCAACAGAUAUUGCUGUUCCCCUUAAAAUUUUUAAGUAUCUCAUAAGUUUGAUGAGUGGGAACAGUGACGAGUACAGACAAAUCCAGUGAAUGAAAGUUACAAACAAAAUGGGUUAUCGGGCUGAUGUUCUAAGUUAAUUUUCUUAUCAGUUUGGAUUCCAGCCAUUUUUAUCUCUGGUCAUAUGUACUAGAUACAUGUAUGUAUAUCAAUGUCAUUGUAUGCACAUGUAUACAUAUAGUUUAUUUGAUGUGAUAAACAUCAAAACAACAAUGUGAUGACCAAAAACAACACGAAGAUGAAAGUUUAUUUCAUCUUAGAGGUCCAGUCCAUAAUCAAGGAAAGCCAUGGUAGGAACCUGGGGGCAGAAUGUGGGGCAGAAGGCAUGAAGGAACACUUUACUGGCUUGCUUCGCCCAUCUGCUCAGCUCUUAUACAGCCAGCCACCCCACCCCACCCCCAACCUACACACAGUACUGUCCACAGUGAGCAGGGCCCUCUUACAUCAAUUAGUAAUUGAAGAAAUGCCCAAUAGGCAUGCUCAAAGGUCAGUCUGAUUGAGGCAAUCUCUAAUUGAGACCCCUUCAUAUUACUCGGGAUAUGUCAGGUUUGACACCUGAAGCUAACUAGAGCAUAUAAAACUAAACUAUUUCCACAUGGCUCUCCAAGGAACCAAAUUUAAAUCUCCAAAGAACAGAUUCAGGACUCAGGCAAACUAUGGAUUAAACAGCAAAUCUUAAUUUAGACUUAGAUUACUAUCUUAACUCAAACCAUCUUGUUGUAAUGGCCAAACUCAUUUAUGGGGUUGUUUGUUUUUAUCUAUUUGCAAGCUACUAAAGCAGCGCUGGAUGUUUUCAAUAGAGACCAUACAAUUUACAUCACCUAAAUGUCUAUCUGGUCCUUUAUAAGAAAAAAAAAAUGCUCAUUUUCAUUGCACCUCACACUUUGUGAUGACCUUUAGGAAUCUAUGUUCCAAAACUAUAGGGUUUUUGCCUUCGUUAGGGUUAUUUUUCUAAUUAUUCUUAUUUUCUAAUCAGGUGAGCUUUGUUUCAUAUUGCAAAUGAUCUCACAACAGUUGUGCAAGAGGUAAAAUUAAAAUUUCCAUGUGAACAAAAAUGCAAAAUUAUACUAUUUCUGAAAACGGAAACUAAUGUGAUGAGUUAAAAGUAGAAGUUAAGAUUUCUAGUUGUUUGAACAUGCUUUAGAAACUUUAAAAACCAUGUGAAUUAGACAAACAAAAAAACAAAUAACGCUCACUCACAUUUAAAUCAAACUGGAGCCCUAUUGCUUAGCAAGCCACAGAAUGAGCACCCUCAGGUUCUGAAUUUCUCAUGAUACGAUGAAGUAAUUUCUAUUGGAUUAACAUUUAGGAAAUAGUGUGUUAUUCUAUGAAAAUUACUUACUCAUCAACAAGUGUUCAGGAGAACACUUACACAGGCAACUUCACUUUUAAAAACUACUUUCCUAUAUCCAUGCUUCUCUGAGUGUUCUCUGUAGGUUUCAUGUGGAUAGAACCUUUAGGAUAUACUUUACUUGUCUAGAAAAUUUAGAAAACCAGGAAGAGCAGUUUAGUCUAUUUCUACUUAGAAAAAUUAUCCAUCCUAAAGUAUCUGCCUUAAGAGAACCAAGUAACUCAGUUAUUGAGGGAAAUCUAGGUAUUUGUGGCUUGUUUCAGUUUGACUUUCAACAUUUGUAACUGUAAAGGUCACAAAUGAGAUAGCAAGUAGGAAGCAAUUAUCAGUCUGUCGUUAGGAAGAUCUACAAUUUCUGUAUGACGGAAUGGAACAGUCUCUUUAAACUGUUGAAGCAAUCAGUAAGACGAUACAGCCACUGGGACAUUACAGAAUAUGGGAACAAAAGACAUGAGUCAUCCUCUGAGCCCUGGUGGUUAGCAUGGGCAGGAGACAAACUGCUGGAAUGAGACAGGAAAGGUGACAUGCAUUAGGACUGUACAUUCUUAUCUGCCCAUCUUCUAGAUGGCACCAAGUUAUUGAUAAAUUAAAAACUUAAAAUGAGUAGAUCAAAAUCAAUAGCUACUUUUCUUUCUAGAAAUUAGACAGCAUGGCUUAGAGGAUAUUUGGCCUUCAUGGAAAGCAAGCUUAAAGGACAUGACUCACUAAUAGCAAAAGCUUCCCAGAAAUAGCCCUUUCCAGGAACCCUUUUCCCACAGUAAAUUUUACUGACAAGCCAUUACUUGCAAAAGAGGAGACGAAAAUGAAUUAAGUCCAGUGAUACUCUUCAGGUAGCUAAGAUGUCUUAGUUGAAGAGAAAAGAUAAAUAAUCACACAUAUAGCCUGUACUGAAUACAUGCAGAUGGUAAGCACUCCAAGGUUGGAGAGAGGAAAAUGGUCUCUUGUGGCAAGAAUGUGCAAGGCUAAUUUUGAAGGGUUAGACUAAGAAAUGGCAUAGCUGGGGUGGAGAAACGGAGGUAGAGGAGAAGAAUUAGCACUGGAUGAGAAAGGCUGAGUGAGAUACACAGGGUAUUGUGGAGUGGGCAGUAGUCUUAGACAGCCUUAGAUCUAAGCUGAGCUCCUUGCUGCACUCUGGCUCUGGACAGCUGCAGGGGAAGUUCUCGAGAGCACCUGCCCCUGCUACUUGGCUAGUCUCCUAGUACAUACCUAAGCAGGAUAAAGUCACCCAACAUAGUGAACGCGUGUUUGGAAGUCCACAGCUAAUCUUCAGACCUCAAGCUGGUCCUGCCAGGUUAAUUCUUCACUCUCUUUUGUCCAGUGUGUAUAAGGUUAUAAUUAUACAAUAUAAAACAUCUAAAGAAUCUCUAUCUCUUAUUGGAGACACUAUUUUUCAUUCUCUUUAAGACACCUGGAUUUUUGUUUUUAUAAAUUACUAAUUAGAAUUACAGUGUGAAUACUCUGACUUGAGUAUCUUUAUUUCUGAUAAUGUCUGUGGAUAGUGGAUGGUUACAUUUCUCCAGGAUACAUGACAUGAGAGACAGAGACAAAGGGGGGGGGGUGAUGCUAAGAAAUAAAGAUACUAUUAGGAAACAGAAAACAGGUUAGUGAACACUGAGGAAGGAAGACUUGCUGUGAGGGGUUUUCAGGCUUAGAUGGCAUUAUCUGGGAUGUCUUUUUGAGACUUCUCAGAUGUGAAAUUUGCAUUGUUGGAUUGUUGAAAGUAUUUUGGACUAAAGGGACAUAAGCAACUUUAAUAGCAGCAUGGGGGAGUAUAGAAUAGCAUCAUAUGCAAGAAAACAGAUUUCCUGUAGUUUAGACCACAAGUCAUUAACACAAAAUGAGAGUGUGUAUGAAAUGGAGAAAGAAAGUAUAAAUAUCUUAAUUUACACAGCUAAGAAUAUGGUUGGCUUUUACGCUUUCUAGUAAAAAGUACUAAAAGAAACUGUGAACAUUUAAUUUUCUAAAUGUGUCAAAAUGGUGCUAUUGAUUCCUUAAUACAAAGUUACAAUUAUAAUAUUUUUAGGUAAGUAUGUUAAGCCUGGUUUGGCUACAAAUGUAAAUACAUAAAAUGCUUGCAGUCAACAAAACCAUGUCCAUUUGCUAAUGGCUGAGGUACUGUGUUCUUCAAUGUGUGUGACUGACCCGAGUUCACACCUUCUAUGAAGGGAACAGGACAGCCAUUGGCUCUCUCUCAAUUGCCAAAAGUCUAAGAUAUUCGAUGGCUCAAUGGAUUUUCUUGGACACAGGUUGGACAACCCAAGUCAAUGAUUAAAUAUGCUCAUUUGGUGAUUGUAGGGGUGUUGGCCAAGAACUUGAAGAAAGACUAUGUGACAUGAGCAAAGUGAAUGCUGCUAGGCUACCUGUAGAGACUGAGGACUGAUGUAACUCUAAGUUCACCCAGACCGUCAGAGCAUGCCAAAAGAAGCUAGCCAGUGCCUUGCAGCUGGCCAAUCUGUAAAGGAAUCUGCAUGUACAAUGUGAUAAUAAAUCAUCUAAGAGCCAACCUGAACUUUGCAUUCUGUGAUUUGAACAGUUAGCAUGAAUCAAGGCAUACCAUGGACAUUUUCCUUAGAACUGAAAUGCACAGCUGAAUCACCAUUCUUUUGGGUAAAAUUGUACUUUGCCUUUAGUACUUUUAAUACUUGCAUGCUGGGAUAUUUACUGCCUAAAGGGUAAGACUGUGAAAUUAAUAAAGCUAGAAAGGCACAUUAGUAAUUAUUUCAUCUUUAGUAACUCCAUUUUAUUUAAAGUGAGUUAACACACCCUGGAAGUUAACUACCAAUGUAAGUCCAUGGUGAAUGAGAAGGGAACAGCUGUGCUGCCACUCUUCAGCCCAAUUCUCACUACUAAAAUAUCUGCUGGACAUUAUUGCAUCAACUCAUAUGAAAAAUGACUUUUCCUUACAAAGACAUGAAAAUACAGAAAAUUAUCUUAAC
ensembl:lncRNA